UGUAUUUAUUAGAUAAAAAACCAAUGCCCUUCGGGGCUCCUUGGUGAUUCAUGAUAACUUAACGAAUCGCAUGGCCUUGCGCCGGCGAUGGUUCAUUCAAAUUUCUGCCCUAUCAACUUUCGAUGGUAGGAUAGUGGCCUACCAUGGUAUCAACGGGUAACGGGGAAUUAGGGUUCUAUUCCGGAGAGGGAGCCUGAGAAACGGCUACCACAUCCAAGGAAGGCAGCAGGCGCGCAAAUUACCCAAUCCCGACACGGGGAGGUAGUGACAAUAAAUACUGAUACAGGGCUCUUUUGGGUCUUGUAAUUGGAAUGAGUACAAUUUAAAUACCUUAACGAGGAACAAUUGGAGGGCAAGUCUGGUGCCAGCAGCCGCGGUAAUUCCAGCUCCAAUAGCGUAUAUUAAAGUUGUUGCAGUUAAAAAGCUCGUAGUUGAACCUUGGGCCUGGCUGGCCGGUCCGCCUCACCGCGUGUACUGGUCCGGCCGGGCCUUUCCUUCUGGGGAUCCUCAUGCCCUUCACUGGGUGUGCUGGGGAACCAGGACUUUUACUUUGAAAAAAUUAGAGUGUUCAAAGCAGGCCUUUGCUCGAAUACAUUAGCAUGGAAUAAUAGAAUAGGACGUGCGGUCCUAUUUUGUUGGUUUCUAGGACCGCCGUAAUGAUUAAUAGGGAUAGUCGGGGGCAUCAGUAUUCAAUUGUCAGAGGUGAAAUUCUUGGAUUUAUUGAAGACUAACUACUGCGAAAGCAUUUGCCAAGGAUGUUUUCAUUAAUCAGUGAACGAAAGUUAGGGGAUCGAAGACGAUCAGAUACCGUCGUAGUCUUAACCGUAAACUAUGCCGACUAGGGAUCGGGCGAUGUUAUUCUUUUGACUCGCUCGGCACCUUACGAGAAAUCAAA
rnacentral:rRNA from 1 species